AAGUCGUAACAAGGUUUCCGUAGGUGAACCUGCGGAAGGAUCAUUAACACGUAUUCAACGUUAACCUUGUGAACCUUGAACGUGCUCCUGCAGCCCCAUGAAAUCAGCAAUCCCUGUUGACCAGCUUUUGAGUCAGGGACCUCUGCCGAAACGGCUUUUCAGCACCGAGCGCGGUAAGCGACCUGGGAUCAGUGUCUGAAAGUGUCAUUGAUUGUGUAAGGAUGGCGCAGUACACGAUUGCUAGAGGCCCACACGGCCGGCAAGGGCUCACGGCCCCUUUAUCACCCCACAGUUUCCGACUGGGCAGCCGAUAAUACGGACGCCGUAAAAAACUGAACAACUGUUAACAAUGGAUAUCUUGGUUCC
rnacentral:misc_RNA from 1 species